AUGCUUGUGAGUUUUUUAUGGACAUAUUUUGGUACAAUCCAGAUUAACAAGUCGGAUACUUGUCAAAAAACCGCACCUCAUUUAUUUUGGGCUGUAUUCACUCUUGUGACCACAAUUUGGUGUUCUAUUAUUGGAUUGAUUUUAAGUUUGAUUACUAUAUCAAUUGGAUCACUCUUUGUUGUUUUGUCGAACAUAAAUUAAAUAUAAAAUUUAAGUUUAUGCUUAUGCAUGCAGUAAGCAAAAAAGUAUUAUAAUUCGAAAAAAUAAGAAAUGGGAACAAGUUAUUAAGUAUGUGUUUUUUUUUUUUCUUUUUUAAUAUUGCACUGUUUAAUUUUAUAAACAGUUAAUUCUAUAUGAUAAAUUUGUAUUAAUAAAAAGCGUACAUAUAUAUACA
rnacentral:lncRNA from 1 species